UUGAUUUUUUUUUUAAAUAAACACUUUUCAGCACUAAACAUCGUUUAUCAACACUGAUCUGUAUGCAGAAAAGCAACCCUGUAAAAAGAGAUACAUACAAUUCCAUAUAUGUACGUUUAUAAAAUGUUGCGCAAAAAAAUGUUUACUAUUAUUCUUGCCACAAACGAGAAGUGUUGCGCGUUAAUUCAGUGAAUUCUAAAUCGAAUUAUUAUAUUUCGUUCGUUGUUUAAGUGAUUUAUGUUUUGUGAUUAAAUCUACAGUUCCCUGAUUAGGGAAUGUAAGGUGCAUUUAAAAAAAAUUGAGCGAUCGGUGUGCCUCAUGACCGGAGAGGAAAAAGACGAGGCUCUCGACCAGGUAGCAAGCCUUUUACCUAUUCAAAACUUUGAGGGAUGUUUGGAAGUGGAAGAAAUGUUAGAGAAACCUGAGUACGCACAAUCUAUGAUCAGUUAUGUCCACAAACUUAAAGGGACAUCGGACAAUAUUGAAAACUCUUUCAAAUAUAUAUUUGCAGACAGCCUACUAGAGUAUUUCAAUUUUAAUGGAAGAGGAGAAAAACAAGCAUUAUGUAAGCUAAAAAUCUUCGAAGAAGUUUUAAGAGUCGUUUACCAGCCACAAUGAUCUUUCAAUUUGGAAAAGAGUAUACGGAGGUCUAUUGAACGGGGUCACCACCGAAAUAACCAAAAAAAAUAUAUUAAUAGGAAAAGAAACAAUUAAUAUAAUUUUUCAAUAAUUUAAUUUUAUUUUAUUACCAUUAUGAUUUUGAAACAUGAAUUAUAUGAUUUAAAAUUAAUGAAUUAUUGUGAUUUAAUAAUAAGAUAUGUAAAUAUGUAAAUUUUGAAACAUGAAUUAUUGUGAUUUGAAAUAUGAAUUAUUAUGAUUUAAUAUAUUAUAAUGUAAAUGUAAUUAAUUUUAUUAUAUAGAGUUAUAUUAAUUUUUUACAACAUUUUUGACAUAAAUGUUAUUUUAAUAUUCAGAUUAUAAAUGAAUAAAGAUAAAACUAAUUUGAACAAAAAAAAAAUGUGUCAUCAUUGAAAGAUUUACAGUCAUAAAUGACAAAUUGCAGCUAUGUUAGCUUUUCAGUCAUUAUUGACAAAUUUCAGCUUUGACAGAUUUGUGGUC